AGCAGUCCUGGGUUCCUGAUGCUGCCAUGGGCUCCAGGCUCCUCUGCUGGGUGAGUCUCUUCCUCCUGGGAGCAGGCCUGGUGGAGUCUGAAGUCACCCAGACCCCCAAAUACCUGAUCAAAUCAAGAAAGGAGAAAGUGACGCUGAGAUGUUCUCCUAAAUCUGGACACCGUUCUGUGUACUGGUAUCAGCAGGCCCUGGGCCAGGGCCCCCAGUUCCUCGUUCAGUAUUACAGUCAGCAAGUGAGCGGAGAAGCACAGCUCCCGGAUCGAUUCUCAGGAAAACAGUUUAGUGACUUUCACUCUGAGCUGAACUUGACUUCCUUGGAGCUGACAGACUCAGCCGUGUAUCUCUGUGCCAGCAGCCAAGACACAGCCCUGCAUGAUCAGGUGCCUCUGGGACAAAAACACUCCUGCCGCAGCUCAGGAAGUGGUGCCUGUGUGUCAGCUGCCAGCCUGCCAAGCCCAGUGUCUGGAAUCAUGGGCUUCUGUGAACAUGAGGAGCUGUACCUGCGUUUGACUGGUGGACUGUCUGCAGGGCUGGUCCAUGUGGAGCUGGACCACAUGGUGUCACUCAGGACCCCAGAUUCCAGGAUGUGA